rnacentral:rRNA from 1 species
GACGAACGCUGGCGGCGUGCUUAACACAUGCAAGUCGAACGGUAAGGCCCUUCGGGGUACACGAGUGGCGAACGGGUGAGUAACAAGUGGGUGAUCUGCCCUGCACUUCGGGAUAAGCCUGGGAAGCUGGGUCUAAUACCGGAUCGUACUUCGCAAUGCAUGGUGGGGGGUGCAAAGCUGUUGCGGUGUGGGAUGGGCGCGCGGCCAAUCAGCUUAGGGGUGGGGUGAUGGCAUACCGAGGCGACGAAGGGUAGUAGGCUGGGGAGGGUGACCGGCCACACUGGUACUGAGAUACGGCGCAGCCUCCAACGGGAGGCAGCAGGGGGGAAUAUUGCACAAUGGGCGCAAGCCUGAUGCAGCGACGCCGCGUGAGGGAUGACGGCCUUCGGGUUGUAAACCUCUUUCAGCAUCGACGAAGCGAAAGUGACGGUAGGUGCAGAAGAAGGACCGGCCAACUACGUGCCAGCCGCCGCCGUAA